GAACGCUAGCUACAGGCUUAACACAUGCAAGUCGAGGGAACGACAUCGAAAGCUUGCUUUUGGUGGGCGUCGACCGCGCACGGGUGAGUAACGCGUAAGCAACCUGCCCUUCAGAUGGGGGACAACAGCUGGAAACGGCUGCUAAUACCGAAUACGUUCUUUUUGUCGCAUGGCAGAAAGAAGAAAGGGAGGCUCUUCGGAGCUUUCGCUGAAGGAGGGGCUUGCGUCUGAUUAGCUAGUUGGAGGGGUAACGGCCCACCAAGGCGACGAUCAGUAGCCGGUCUGAGAGGAAAGUCCCCCACAUUGGAACUGAGACACGGUCCAAACUCCUACGGGAGGCAGCAGUGAGGAAUAUUGGUCAAUGGGCGGAAGCCUGAACCAGCCAAGUAGCGUGCAGGAUGACGGCCCUAUGGGUUGUAAACUGCUUUUAUGCGGGGAUAAAGCGGGCGACGUGUCGCCCUUUGCAGGUACCGCAUGAAUAAGGACCGGCUAAUUCCGUG
rnacentral:rRNA from 1 species